CCUCAAGAUGAGAUUUCCCAUAGCGUAAGCUAGUAAGAUCCCUUGAAGAACACAAGGUUGAUAGGUCGGGGGUGUAAGCAUGGUAACAUGUUCAGCUGACCGAUACUAAUAGAUCGAGGGCUUGACCCA
rnacentral:rRNA from 1 species